CUCUAUUUAAUAUUGUUGUGAAGCAGCAGGGAAGAGAAAGCUGCAGCUGCAAAUGAACCUGUUCUUUCCUCUAGUGAAAGUUUUGGUGCAAAGAUCAAUACAUUGAGACUACAAAUUAAUUGCAAUUAUGCUAAUAUAAUAUAGAAGGAUUAAUGCAAGUAAAUAAAUAGAAAAAAACAAAUUUAGGUUUUGGUUCUCUAAUAGGAUGCCUUUAUCCCAUCUGGACACACACACAUUAGAAUUUUAGAGGCAGAAAGAAGAAAUUUAUGCCUUGCUUCUCAUUUCACUGUGAGGUUGGAGGACUCUGAUAAAAGCUACCUGAAGAUGGGAUGCUGUAAGCAGCGAUGGCUGGAGCUAACCAACCUUUUAUUGUGUACAGAUCACAAGUAAAAUCUCCAGUUAUAAAGAAAAAG
rnacentral:lncRNA from 1 species